rnacentral:rRNA from 1 species
UACGGAGGGUGCAAGCGUUAUCCGGAUUUACUGGGUUUAAAGGGUGCGUAGGUGGGUCUGUAAGUCAGUGGUGAAAUCUCCGAGCUUAACUCGGAAACUGCCAUUGAUACUAUAGAUCUUGAAUUAUCUGGAGGUAAGCGGAAUAUGUCAUGUAGCGGUGAAAUGCUUAGAUAUGACAUAGAACACCGAUUGCGAAGGCAGCUGACUACAGGAACAUUGACACUGAGGCACGAAAGCGUGGGGAUCAAACAGG